AUAAUUUAGGAGGAGAUGAAGAUGUGGGCAUUGGAAUCCAUGGUGCUGCUUCUGAUCUUGAUUUUCUCCAAUGUUUUGGGAUCCAAAGGCAUGGGGUUCAAUCUUAGUAUGGAUGUUUUCAUUUAUGGUCCGGCGAUCUGGCUCUCCGAUGGUGUCAAUGAACUCAAUCUACUCUUUGAAGAUUUUGGAGGCUUUGAUGGUCUCUAUACUAAAAUAUAUUUAGUAUGGUGACCAUUGGUUUUCCUCUUAUAGAGCUUUUUAUUGCGAAGCCGGUAAGGUUGAGCUUAGGAAUGGUAUGGCCUGAAGAAGUAGAUCAAGCUGUUGGUUCAACAUGGUUCUGGAAAUGGCAGUCAGAAGCUGAAAUGAAUUACAAAGCUAGAAAAAGAGAUACCAUCCGAUGAAAACCUAUCGUCAGUUUCAAUUUAGCAGAAGAAUUAGUAGGAAAAAGGAGGGCACUGAUCCGAUAAGGUCAGCUUUUGA